AGAGGAAGUAAAAGUCGUAACAAGGUUUCCGUAGGUGAACCUGCGGAAGGAUCAUUACUGAACCGUCGACACGAGUUGUUGCUGGUCCCCAAACGGGGCAUGUGCACGCUCUGUUUACACAUCCACUCACACCUGUGCACCCUCUGUAGUUCUGUGGUCGGGGGGUCCCAUCCCCUCGCCGUGGUUCUAUGUAUUUACACACACACAACAAAGUCUCAUGGAAUGUUGCCGCGUUUAACGCAAUACAAUACAACUUUCAGCAACGGAUCUCUUGGCUCUCGCAUCGAUGAAGAACGCAGCGAAAUGCGAUAAGUAAUGUGAAUUGCAGAAUUCAGUGAAUCAUCGAAUCUUUGAACGCACCUUGCGCCCUUUGGCUAUUCUGAAGGGCAUGCCUGUUUGAGUAUCAUGAACACCUCAACUCUCAUGGUUCGCCAUGAUGAGCUUGGACUUUGGGGGUCUUGCUGGCCUUUGGUCAGCUCCUCUCAAACGGAUCAGCUUGCCAGUGUUUGGUGGCUCCACAAGUGUGAUAACUAUCUACGCUCGUGGUUUGCCUGCCAGGUAACCUUCAGCGAUGGAGGUUCGCUGGAGCUCACAAACGUCUCUCCUCAGCGAGGGACAGCAUUCGAACGUUUGAUCUCAAAUCAGGUAGGACUACCCGCUGAACUUAAGCAUAUCAAUA
rnacentral:rRNA from 1 species